rnacentral:lncRNA from 1 species
CUGGUAAAAUAUAUUUCAUUCUCUCUCUCUCCCUUUAUUUCUCAUCGACAGAAUCCAUCUCAUUCCUUAUCUUUCUCUUUUCGGUGCAAACACCUAUCAUAUUCUCUCUCUCCAUCUCUCCCUCUUCAGUGCAAACACCUCUCAUUCCUACUCUUUCCUUCCUCUCGCUAGAAAAAUAUGUUUCAUUCUCUCUCUCCCUUUGUGUCUUAUUGGUAGAACACCUCUUAUUCUCUCUCUCCGAUGCAAAUACCUCUCAUAUCCUCUCUCUCCAUCUUUCUCUCUUCAGUGCAAACACUUCUCAUUCCCUCUCUUUCUCUACGGUACAAACACCUCUCAUCUCCUCUAUUUAUCCAUUUCUCUUUAGCACAAAUACCUCUCAUUCUCUCUCUCUUCCUCUAAAACUCUCUCUUGGUCUUCCUUUUAUCGAAACUAUGGUCCAUCCUCUCAUUCUUGCUCCCCCUCUCUCUUACUUAUCUCUCUCUCUCUCUUAUUGAAACUAUCCACCCAAA